UAAUACAUGUGGGGCAAGCGUUGUUCGGAAUUACUGGGCAUAAAGGGUGCGUAGGUGGUUUGUUAAGUCAGGGGUGAAAUCCCGCGGCCCAACCGUGGAACUGCCUUUGAUACUGGCGAACUUGAGUGCGUGAGGGGUAGGGGGAACGAGCAGUGUAGCGGUGAAAUGCGUAGAUAUUGCUCGGAAGGCCAGAGCCGAAGGGGCCCUACUGGUGCGCAACUGACACUGAGGCACGAAAGCGUGGGGAGCAAACAGGAUUAGAUACCCUGGUAGUCCACGCCGUAAACUAUGAGCACUAGAUGGAUGCCGAGCUAUCGGUGUCUGUCGGAGGCAAUUUGGUAAGUGCUCCGCCUGGGGAGUAUGGUCGCAAGGCUG
rnacentral:rRNA from 1 species